UUAUUCCUGGUAUCUAAUAAAUCAGUUAGCUAGUAAAGAACUGAGAAGAUGCGUUAGCAGUCAAUAGUAGGAGUAAGCAUAAUAUUUUCUGAAACAUUGAUAAAAAAACUUCUACCAAGGAAAAAAUGUUAUCAAGCUCAGAUUCUGAAAACCUGUGAGCUUUUGUUCUUUAAGUUCAGAUAGAAACACUUUAAAACAACUGCCUAUUUCCCCAUUGUUUUUGAAGUGUGAUAUAUCACCUUAGGUGAGAAAGAAUCCACUGUAGUUAGCUUGAAAAUAAACUACUUCCUAUAGUAAUCAGAGGAUAUAAAUUCAUCUAAUCAGUCAAACAAACCUGUUUCUUCUUCUUUUUUAAGUCAUCAGUGAAAGUUAUGACUUCCUUUGCCUUUGACUCAGAGUAAGUCAAAAUUAUUAGUCAGCUUUCUAGGGCUCCUUGAUUUUGGAGGGGUCUCUAGUUUCUUGCUAGUCUGAUAAAUGUAAUUAUGGGAGGGUCAUUGUAGCUUCUGUGAUCUGGGUGGCAAAGUUUAUAAACUUGCUGCCUACUGUGUUAAAUGUGUUCAUUUUGCUUAGAUAUGAGUCCUGAGGUCACACCCAGGCUUUGAUGAAACUAAGUAGAACAUACUUAGGGCACUAACAUCCUUUGUUGCUUUCAUGUCUAAUACAUUUUCAUAUCACAGAUUGUUCAUUUGAUUUAGGAUUUACCUCUCAAGUAUAACCUUGUAAGGUAAU
rnacentral:lncRNA from 1 species